rnacentral:misc_RNA from 1 species
CAGAGUUCAUGCCCUUCGGGGUAGAUCUCCCACCCUGUGUAUUUAUACCUUUGUUGCUUUGGCGGGCCGUCAGGCUUCGGUCUAGCUACUGGCUUCGGCUGGUAAGUGCCCGCCAGAGAACCACAAACUCUGAAUGUUAGUGUCGUCUGAGUACUAUAUAAUAGUUA